UACGUAGGUGGCAAGCGUUGUCCGGAAUUAUUGGGCGUAAAGCGCGCGCAGGCGGUCCUUUAAGUCUGAUGUGAAAGCCCACGGCUCAACCGUGGAGGGUCAUUGGAAACUGGGGGACUUGAGUGCAGGAGAGAAGAGUGGAAUUCCGCGUGUAGUGGUGAAAUGCGUAGAGAUGCGGAGGAACACCAGUGGCGAAGGCGGCUCCCUGGCCUAAUACUGACACUGAGGCACGAAAGCGUGGGGAGCAAACAGG
rnacentral:rRNA from 1 species